rnacentral:rRNA from 1 species
GAAACGGUAGCUAAUACCGCAUAACGUCGCAAGACCAAAGAGGGGGACCUUCGGGCCUCUUGCCAUCGGAUGUGCCCAGAUGGGAUUAGCUAGUAGGUGGGGUAAAGGCUCACCUAGGCGACGAUCCCUAGCUGGUCUGAGAGGAUGACCAGCCACACUGGAACUGAGACACGGUCCAGACUCCUACGGGAGGCAGCAGUGGGGAAUAUUGCACAAUGGGCGCAAGCCUGAUGCAGCCAUGCCGCGUGUAUGAAGAAGGCCUUCGGGUUGUAAAGUACUUUCAGCGGGGAGGAAGGGAGUAAAGUUAAUACCUUUGCUCAUUGACGUUACCCGCAGAAGAAGCACCGGCUAACUCCGUGCCAGCAGCCGCGGUAAUACGGAGGGUGCAAGCGUUAAUCGGAAUUACUGGGCGUAAAGCGCACGCAGGCGGUUUGUUAAGUCAGAUGUGAAAUCCCCGGGCUCAACCUGGGAACUGCAUCUGAUACUGGCAAGCUUGAGUCUCGUAGAGGGGGGUAGAAUUCCAGGUGUAGCGGUGAAAUGCGUAGAGAUCUGGAGGAAUACCGGUGGCGAAGGCGGCCCCCUGGACGAAGACUGACGCUCAGGUGCGAAAGCGUGGGGAGCAAACAGGAUUAGAUACCCUGGUAGUCCACGCCGUAAACGAUGUCGACUUGGAGGUUGUGCCCUUGAGGCGUGGCUUCCGGAGCUAACGCGUUAAGUCGACCGCCUGGGGAGUACGGCCGCAAGGUUAAAACUCAAAUGAAUUGACGGGGGCCCGCACAAGCGGUGGAGCAUGUGGUUUAAUUCGAUGCAACGCGAAGAACCUUACCUGGUCUUGACAUCCACGGAAGUUUUCAGAGAUGAGAAUGUGCCUUCGGGAACCGUGAGACAGGUGCUGCAUGGCUGUCGUCAGCUCGUGUUGUGAAAUGUUGGGUUAAGUCCCGCAACGAGCGCAACCCUUAUCCUUUGUUGCCAGCGGUCCGGCCGGGAACUCAAAGGAGACUGCCAGUGAUAAACUGG